rnacentral:rRNA from 1 species
GAUGAACGCUGGCGGCGUGCUUAACACAUGCAAGUCGAACGAGAAAUGUAGACGGAAACCUUCGGGCGGAAGCCUUCAUUUCGAGUGGCGGACGGGUGAUUAACGCGUGGGUAACCUGCCUCAUACAGGGGGAUAACAGUUGGAAACGACUGUUAAUACCGCAUAAGACCACAGCAUCGCAUGAUGCGGGGGUAAAAACUCCGGUGGUAUGAGAUGGACCCGCGUUCGAUUAGCCAGUUGGCGGGGUAACGGCCCACCAAAGCGACGAUCGAUAGCCGAUCUGAGAGGAUGACCGGCCACAUUGGGACUGAGACACGGCCCGAACUCCUACGGGAGGCAGCAGUGGGGAAUAUUGCACAGUGGGGGGAACCCUGAUGCAGCGACGCCGCGUGAGUUAAGAAGUACUUCGGUAUGUAAAGCUCUAUAAGCAGGGAAGAAAAUGACGGUACCUGAGUAAGAAGCCCCGGCUAACUACGUG